GCCAACAUGGCUCAGUGGUUGAGUGCCAACCUAUGAACUAGGAGGUCACGGUUCGAUUCCCUGUCAGGGCA
rfam:Myotis lucifugus cont2.17408, whole genome shotgun sequence.